ACAAACAAUCGUUACAACUUUCAACAAUGGAUCUCUUGGCUCUGGCAUCGAUGAAGAACGCAGCGAAAUGCGAUAAGUAGUGUGAAUUGCAGAAUUCAGUGAAUCAUCGAAUCUUUGAACGCACAUUGCGCCCCUUGGUAUUCCAUGGGGCAUGCCUGU
rnacentral:rRNA from 2 species